UACGAAGGGGGCUAGCGUUGCUCGGAAUCACUGGGCGUAAAGCGCACGUAGGCGGCUUGUUAAGUCAGGGGUGAAAUCCUGGAGCUCAACUCCAGAACUGCCUUUGAUACUGGCAAGCUUGGAGUCCGGGAGAGGUGAGUGGAACUGCGAGUGUAGAGGUGAAAUUCGUAGAUAUUCGCAAGAACACCAGUGGCGAAGGCGGCUUGCCAGAACGCACUCGACGGUGAGGGAUGAAAGCUGGGGGAGCAAACCGG
rnacentral:rRNA from 1 species